rnacentral:tRNA from 1 species
GCCGGUGUGGUGAAAUUGGUAUACACGACGGAUUCAAAAUCCGUUGCCCUCGGGCGUGGCGGUUCAAGUCCGCCCACCGGUA